AAGCGGUGGAUUGUAGCUCCAUGAACAGAGGUUCGAGCCCUCUUCAUAC
rnacentral:tRNA from 1 species